AAAUAGUGAGAGAAAAGAUUAAUCGUAUGAGCUAAUGUAUCAUGAUCGUCAUUACGUGCAUUUCGGAACAGAACAGGGGAGGAGCUGGGGAUCAAAAGAGUGAACUAGUACUACAGUGUUAUCUCGGCAUUUUGCAAUGCUCUGACGCAUGUCAACUAGUAAGCGCCAUAAGGAAAAGACGAGUCAUGGCACAUGAACCAGGGUCGUACAAAAUUAAAAACUAGCUGUUAUUAACUCAAGAUCUCUGGAAAGGUACUAAGAUGGAGAAGUUGGCAACAUUAUUUCAUUUCAUACAUGAUAAGAUAAUUAGUGCUUGCUCGCAGUAAACAUCGCACUGCAAGCAUGGCCUCGCCUGAUCGCCCCAAUUUCAGCAGACAAGUUCGGGGAGGCGUAUAGAACUUGCUGCGCAUUAUUUGAUCUACAGCCUAAUUAGUGGAAGGAGGUGUUCUUGAGGUGUGGCGGGGCGUUGUCAAAGGAGUGCUUCCUGGCCAUGGAGACGAUUGUCUUGUCGGCGACGAUGAAAUAGGCCAUCCCGGCGACGGUGGAGAUGAUGAGCGCCUGCCCGGCCGGGUUCAGGUGCGCCUUUGCCCACGGCAGCAUCCUCACGCUCGCCAGCUGAAAUUACAGGUAAGAGGUAACACAUUCGUGCUCCGCAGGGAUAUCUCGAAGAAGGCAAGAACUAAAUGGCUAGCUACUAACCGUGGGGACUGCGGCUGCGACGGUGGCGACGGCCGCGGCCUUGGCUCCCGCCAUGGCAGCCUCUGCAACACCGACAGGUUAAUGACAAUCAAGUUUCAGUGGACAGAUACAUUACAGAAGCUGCAAUUAAUGCACGACGGAAUGGUAUCUAUACGAGCAUUGCUGGUUACCUCUGGAGCAACGCUUGGCUGCAGCGAGCCUCUGGUCCAGGUAGGCGCGGGUCACCGUAGACAUUUUCGUGGGAGUGGCAGCUUGGUGGCACGAGACCGGAAGGAAGUGAACUAGAAGUAGAGCAGCAGCAGUGUGCUUUUUAUGUGACCGUCUGAGAGUGAGAUGAGAUGGAUAGGAGGUGUGCUCCGAUUCGGCCGAGUUUAUGUAGGCUGCAGGAAACCGGCAACCAGCGUGCGCACAAGAAGACGAUAGAUACAGUGGGAAGCGAGACCGUGGUUUUGGCACUUUGGCAGGCGAGCUAGCAAUACCGGCGGCGUGCUGGGUGGUCGGCGCUGCGGCAGAACACAGGUGGCGCUGCCUCGUUGGUCAUUUAAAAACCAUCUCACGUGCGCCGCACUCUUCUGCAACUGGAUAACAGCAGGCAAUGCAUCAAUCCAUCGGGGUUGGCAGGGAAUCAUAGGAUAACAAAUAUAGGAGCAUGUGCAUGAGUGGGGUGUCAAUUAAAGCAUCACUUGUAGUGUUCUUAAAUCUUCAAAUCCUUAAAAUAAAUCAUUUUUUACGGAUUGAAACGAAAAAAAGCAAAGAAUAGAACCCCUAAACCCUUAAAAAAAAAUAAGGAUUGAACCCGGGUUGCCCUCUCAAUCUCUAAAAGUGAGGAUUGAAGAGGGGAACCCAUCCCUAGCCCGCACUCCUACCGGUCGACGCGCGGGAGGGAAAUUUCCCCGCCUCCCGCCUCCCGCCACCCGCCUCCUCGCUGCCGUCGGCCGCNNNNNNNNNNNNNNNNNNNNNNNNNNNNNNNNNNNNNNNNNNNNNNNNNNNNNNNNNNNNNNNNNNNNNNNNNNNNNNNNNNNNNNNNNNNNNNNNNNNNCCCCAGCCCGCCCCAGCCGCCGCCUCCGUCGUCCCGCCCGCCACGUCCCUCACCCCGCCCGCCUCCUCCCUCGCCCCGCCGAAGCCGCCCGCCACCAAGGGUCGGAAGAAGAAGCCCUCCCUUGGGCCGAAGGGGGCGGCGGGGCCGAAGGUGAAGAAGACCAUCUCCCGGAAGAAGCCGGCUCCUGUGCCCGCCCCGGCCGUCGCCCCUCCGCCCGUCGUGCACGAGGUGAAUGCCCGCCCCGCUGACAUCAUUCAUGGGGCUUCUCGAAGACGCGGAGGUGGACAUCGGGGCUCCUCCUCUCGAACCCUUUGGGUUUAGUGAUGACUUGGAGGAAGAGGGUGAUGAGGAGGAGGAAGGGGAAGAUGAGGAGGAGGUGACCGAGAUAGAGGAGGAGGCGUUCUCCACCGUUGGAAAACACACCGUGCGCUCGACAAACUAUAGCGAGGACGAAGAUAUUCUCUUGGUUCGUGCUUGGGCACAUGUGGGAAUGGAUGCAAGCACCGGUGCCGAUCAAACCGAUAAACUCUAUUGGCAAUGCAUAGAGGACCUCUAUUGCAAGAUUAAGCCGAAGACCGGUGGGUACGACGCUCGUAGUUACCUGUCGCUACAAGGCCGGUGGGAGUUGAUGAAGCCCCAUUGUGCUCGUUGGAGUGCGGCAAUGGACCAAGUGAAGGAUGCACCGCCUAGUGGGACCGUGGAGAGUGACUAUGUAAGUACAUAUGUGUUUUUCACAUUUAUUUUGAUUUUCUAUGCUAUUGUUAUGUAUGUUUACUAUGCUAUUGGUGGGUUUGUAGGAGGCAAUUGCCGACUUGAGGUACAAGGAGAUGGCCGCUUCCAAGGGCAAAGCAUUUCCAUUUAAGCAUGUUUGGAAAAUUCUUUAAACUUAUGACAAGUGGAAGUUGAGGGAUCAAGAGACCGCACCCAAGAAGUCGACAAUGCUUAGGAUGGAUGAUAGUGAUGAGGAGGAAAGGAACGAGUGCAAGCCCGAGGGAACCAAGAAGGAUAAGCUAAGCAAGAAGAUGGAAGGAGAGGCGUCAAGCAUAAGGGAGAAGAUGGAACAUAUGAUGAAGUCAAGGAAGGCAUUGAUAAUGAAGACAUUGGAGACAAAGCUCCUUAUCAACGAGAAUAAGAAAGAGGUGAAGCUUGCACAAGUUGAAGCAAGGCGUGAAGAAGCCAAGCGCAAGGCCGACCUGGAGGAGAGGAUGAUCAAGGUCAAAGAAGCAAAGGCAUGGAAAGAACUCAUGGUGGAAGAGAAGGAGCACAUAAUGAUGUCCAAUAAGGACAUUGAUGAAGACCAAUUGAUGUGGUGGAAGGAGUACAAGGAGGACAUCGCGGAGAGGAAGAGGAUAUUCUGUGGUGCGUCCUCUACUCUUCGAGGUGAUACUCCGAUGAGUGGUGGUGGCGAUGGCAGUGUGGAGGACUCCACCACCGGCGAAAAUGGAGGUGCUUGAUGGACGUGGAAGUGGUCUAGGAGAUGGCGCUGAGGUGCAACUUUUUGGUGAUGGUGCCGAUGAGAGGGGGAAGAUGAUGAUUUUAUGAUGUAAACUAUUAAACCAUGCAUCAAUGAUUUUCAUUUCCUAGUUUGUUUCAAGGUUGAUUGUGUUUUUCUAGUGAUAAUUGUGAUAUGUCAAAUGACAGAUUUAAGGGUUGGGGUUGCGGCAAAGACUAAACCCUCAAAUUCAACCCUUAUAACGGAGUAUUCUGUUAUAAGGGUUGGGUUUGAGGGUUCUAGUCUUUGCCCCUGUUUUUCAAUCCUUAAAAGUGCCAAAAAAUGCCAAUUCUCAACCCUUCAACUGGUAUGAGGGUUUGAGGGUACUACUAGAGAUGCUCUUAGCGUGCACACCAUCUCACUUCAGAUUUGUCUGUGUGUGUGGGAGUUUUCGUCCUACCCAACCCGGUUAGACGCGUCGGAAAUCAGCCCAAUUUGACUAGUGGUUGAGUGCUAAAUUUUUGUUUGUUGAGAGAGAGAAUAUCACAUGAAACCUAAGUUUUGAUAAAAAUCACCCAGAAUAGAUAUUAUUUUGAUGUUCCGAAAUCUCCAUUAGAUGUUGAUUUUGUUUCUUCAGCUCGUCCUUAGGGCGUCUCCAAAGCUGACCCGCCAAUAGUUUCGAUAUAUAUCCGUUUUUAUGUCCGGACGUAGUCCGUGGACGGUUGUCGAGGACAGGUAGACUUCGUUGACUAUAGCAUUUACUGUAGCUACAAUUGUACAGUAUACGAAGGAGAUGUGCCUAAGCCCUAGGCCGUCGCUCCUUCUAUCUGGGGCGUGAAUCCGUCCAUGUCGGUGGAUAUAAUCAGGAGUCGGCCAUUCAAUUGUAGGUGCAAACAUCCGCCUCUAUUAAUGAUUUUCAAGAAAUCAACUCAGCCAAAUUAACCUUCCACAAAUAGAAAAUCUACCUUCCGUUGAAUAGAAAUCAACCUUCACUUAUUUGAAUCAAUCUUCCACCAUUUGACGUAUACUUAUAAAGAAAUAUUUACUCUCGUAAUUUUAGGUGCGACAAUGAGAAUUGUCUAAAAAAAUAGAUGGAAUUGGACCUAGAAAAACCAUUCAGCUUCAUUAUGGAUUAGGUAUGACUGGGUGAAAAUCCUUUUGAAGGAAGCUAUUCAAGAACGGAUGGAACGGCUUUCCCUUCAAUAACAAAUAAAUUUUACAUAUGGGAAUUGGUUGAAGUCGAGGGAUUAGCUUAUAUAGAUAGACGCGGCGGGGGCACGGUGUUUAUCCGGUCUCGUGUUAGAUCCUAUGAUUUGGUUAGUUAGCCUAUGAGAACAAGUCACAAGUUAUUUCCUCUUUCAAUCAAAUGAGGUACUUCCUCGGUUUAGAAGGCACGUUUGGAAAAUCUCUCGGAUCAAGGUAGUCAACGAUUGGUUGUGAGAUGUAGUAGGUGUAUAUGCUAAUGCGCCUAAUCAACUGGAAAAAAUAAGAGUACUAAUGCUUGAGCAGCAAAUUAGGAGGGCGCAUGCAUGAGUAGUGCUAGUACUAAUUAAUAAGAGUAAUUGCUUUCCCGCCUUAAACCUUGUCUAUUUUGAAAACGCACGCAAGUUUAACCGUGCCUUCUAAACCGUGACGGAGAGAGUAAUUAACGUGAAGUAACAGGGUAAUAAAUCUACAUUUUUAAUACAAACUAUUAAUAAACUAGUAGGAAGAAAUAUGUGUUUUUAAUGUGGAGUAAUCAAUAGACGGUCCUAAGCUGCUCUCGCCCCAACCCGGACAUGGGUACACGGCGGCUUUUGAUUGGCCAAGCGCCGGACUCCUGUAAGGCCUCACCUUAUCGACGAUUGGUCUAUCUCUGUCUACCUCAAGUGUUGCUUUGUUGCUUAUCCUUUGUGUGCUUGCUACUUAUCUUCAGCAUUUGUGUAUCUAGCCUUAGGUUGUCUGAGGUGGUGUUUGUAAUCGUAUGAUUGUAUGUGAUCGUUGUUUUAUAUAUAAAACGGAACGCGAGCCUAUUUCGUCGUAAGCUGCAAUGCACAACAGAAUGGUAUAUACGAGCACUGUUGGGCUGAGGCAGGGACCGGCUCCCUCGUUGGUUACCUAUGCGGCACCGCUUGGCGGCGGCAAGGUAGGCACGGGUCAUCGUAGACAUGUCGAGAGCAGAGUUUGGUAAAGGAUCAGUAGGUUUACUAGCGUGAGUGAGACCAAGAUGAGAUGGGCAGAGCAAGAGGUGAUUCUUUUCAGCGAGAGGAGGCAUCGAUCCAUUUUGUAGGAGCAUGUGCGUGAGUGCAGUGUCAGUCAGUGUGCACUCCGUUUUGUUGGCCAUGUGAUGUGCCUGUCCUGGCGCUCCCAGUUUUCGCCCUAGCUAGCUCGGCAAUCCCGUCAGCGGUUCGGUGCAAAACCUUUGCUUGUUUAGCUGGCGUUAUUCCCGGGAGUGCAUGAUAGUUACCGGAGUAGUUGAUUUCCAUUUUCUUAUGAUGACGCUAAAAACACUUGCCAUCUUUGUUAAUUUAGAAGAAAAAAAUUAUCCUGUUAAUUUAGAAAAACCAGAUGAAAACUGUAGCAACACGCCCAACCAGACUAUCAUAGUCAAACAUAUGACAAUAGAUAUGUCAGAGGCCGAUCUUGCUACCAACGUAGACUCCAUACUUAACGGAGAAGACAACUUCCGCAAUGGCUGCAUAGAAACGUCACUCAUCGCCCUCAAUCUAUUUUUUAUUUUUUUGGAAAAGGAGGUUUAACCCCGGUCUCUGUAUCAAUCGAUGCAUACGACCAUCUUUAUUAAUUAUUUAAUAUAGGUCUAAUAAAAACAUACGUCAAACCAUCCGAAAUCAUCACUCACACCUACAAAACUCGAUAAUGUGUAGUGCUCUCACUCCCCAUAUCUAAAACCGGUGCCCUCAUCGAUCCAUCCACAUAACGUAUCGGAACUCACAGCCGGUGCAACACACCUAAAGCGUACACCACAUGUACACGUUUUAGACGCCGUCAUCAUCAUCAGGCGCUGACCCAUCUUUUGUAAAAAGAUGUGUAUCAUCCUUGCCAGUCCGUCCAUCCGUAGACGCCACCACGGCUCGUCAGUCCAGACGCGAAGAUUCUGGAAGAUCUGUCGUGCGUAGCACCUGCCGACCAGGCAUGACACAACGUAGCACGUGUCGGCCAGGCAUGACUUGACAUCUCCACCGAAAGCUUUGUGCAAGAUGAUCGGCGCCACCAUGGCGCCAAACAGCGCCACCGCCCUGCGCUCAUUCGUCGAAACACAAAGAUUCUGGAAGAACUGUCGUUCGUAGCACCUACCAACCAGUCAUGACUCAGCGUAGCACCUGUCGGCCAGGCAUGACAUGACAGUUCCACCAAAUCUUCGGGCCACACAAAGCUGCUCCAUCUCCUGCCUCUGUCAUCCAGCGCUGCUCCACAAACAAUGCUCCCAAGAGAGAAACGGCACCGCAGUACCGCCAUCGUACGAUCUGAAAAGUCAGAUCUUAGGGUUUCCUCCGAAGCAGUGCCCACCACCAGCAACCGCCCAGGACCCACAUAGUGCCCGCCACAACUCAGCCCUCAAGGCGACGCCUUCAGGAAGGUCACGACGUCAAGGACGCCGCCGCCUUCCACCGGAGUUAGGGUUUUCACCCGAGAGGCAGUGAGGUAGGAAGUGGAGGAGCAGACCUAGACCGACGUCUCCAGGAAGAACAACGGCGCUCUUGAGCGUCGUCGGCGGCGCGGCCGGCCAGGGCCGACCAAUGGGUUCCCCCGUACCUGAAUCUUCUCCACCAGCUUCAUCCGCGGCCACGCCGGCAACGCCAGAAAACCGCAGGAGAGAAGCACACCGCGGGUAUUUGGAUCAAUGAAGAUUCAAUCUAAACAGUGACGAGUACCACCACCCUGCGCUGGCCGACGGCGUCCGGGCGCCGGAUCCAGAAGGAUCUGACCCCUCGCCCUCGAUCUAAUGACUCCGACUCCAACAAAAAUGGCCAUAAACAAACUAACCGGUACAAGUUGAUGCAUGGAACCAAAAUUCACUAUGCUUAGAAGACAUCAUCAGCCAUGGAUGCACACAGGCGUCAUCAGAGGCGACUAAAUAAAAUGAUGCUGCUUGUAGUACCCACACCAGACCGAAUAAAAAUGAAACCGUUUGUAGAGAGACAUUUUACUAGCAUCCACACACUCUGCGAAGAUAGCUGCCUCCGAAUCCCACCAUGUGAUAGUCUAGUUCCGCUUUGAGGCGAUUGACACCAAGAGAAUUAGCGAUAACUGGCGACCGGUGGUUUCUCCAGGCGGCUCAACUCUAAUCUUGUUCAGUAGUAGUGGGUGUUUUGUGUUAGGGCUGGUGUCUCCUGGUUUCAUGCUCAAUGUUGACUUAGAGACAAUUUUUUUGGCCUUUUUAGACUUCUAAAAUAAGCUGCCUUCUAUCCAUUUUAUUCUAAAAGCCUAAUUCAAUUUCUUUUUAAAAACAUAUUAGACAAUUUAAUUAUUAGCUUUCUAAGAAAAUUAAUUUGGUUGGACUUCUGAAAUAAGCAAGAAUAGGAGGCAACCUAUUCCAUCUUAUUCUAGAAGCCGGCAAAAAAUAAACUGGCCUUCAGUUAUUCUUGUGCCAACAAACCAGUACCGUUUUAUUUUACUUUUAGUUUGUUUGCAUGAGGGUUGUCUCAUCAUAUUAUAUCGGUUCGACCGAUUGUGGCUUUAUUCGAAAAGGGGGCGAAAGACUCUUUUGAAAAAGGUUUAAUCGUGUGAGGUGAGGUGUCAUGAUCCUCACGUGCAUUUCGGAACAGAACAGGGGAGGAGCAGGGGAUCAAAAGAUUUAACUAGUACCACGGUGUUAUCUCGGCAUUUUGCAAUGCUCUGACGCAUGUCAACUGGUAAUCAUCAUAAGGAAAACACGAGCCAUGGCACAUGAACCAGGGUCGUACAAAAUUAAAACUAGUUGUUAUUAACUCAAGAUAUAUGGAAUGAUACUAAGAUGGAGAAGGUGGCAACAUUAUUUCAUUUCAUCCAUAAUCACACAAGUGCUUGCUUGAUGGCCCCUCUACUACUACUAGCUCAAGGUCUGAAGAAUGAUCGCGGACGGGGACGAGCCGGAGCCGCGGCGGCGCCACCGAAGGAGGUGUCUUUGAGGUGGUCAGGGGCGCUCUCGUAGGAGUGCCUCCUCGCCAGCGAGAGGAUGGUCUUGUCGGCGGCGACGAAGUAUGCCAUCCCGGCGACGGUGCAGACGAUGAGCGCCUGGCCGGUGGGGUUGAGGUUCGCCUUGGCCCACGGCAGCAUCCUCACGCUCGCCAGCUGCGUGAUUAAUAGUAGUUCAGUUAUGGAAACCACAGUCCAACGUGCAUGGAAAUCAACAACAAUUCCUGGACGGAGGAGCUCACCGUGGGGACUGCCGACGCGACCGUGGCGACGGCCGCAGCCUUUGCUCCGGCGAACGUUGCCUCUAGGAAAGAUUAAAAGAAAAAAAAGAAUGAACCGCUAGUAUCAGACUAUCAGCACACAACUGAGCUCUGAAGAAGUGCAUCCUGGUCAGUGGUUACUACCUCUGGAGCAGCGUUUGGCGAGGGCGAGCUUGUGGUCGAGGGACGCGCGGGUGACGGUGGCCGCCGACGACGACAUCUUCACCGUGAUAUUGUACAGAAACGGCUGAGUGCGAUCGAGUGAGAUGGUGUGGGCUGGCUGGUUCGUUGUUGCUCGAUGCAUCCAGACGAGGAGCUAGCCGUGUAUUUAUAGCGAGCAAAAAGGUUGCCGCCAUGCACGGUUUUGGGUGCAAACCGUGGGUACUCUGCUAUGAUCCGCUCAUUUGGACUUUAGAGUACACAACUGAGUUGGUGGGCGGAGCACCGCACGCUAUCUAAAAACUAUGGCAGCAAUCCACAGGAUUUGAUGAUGCUUGUUUGUUAGAGGUAUAUAUCCUCCAUGGCUCAAUCGCCUUUCUUUCUUUACCCACCAAAGCUGGUGAAAAAAGAGAGAUCUAAAGUUAGGCACAACAGUGCUGAUCUGAGCACAAUACUACGUAGAUAAUUGCUACCGGACGCAUUUGUUCUUUGUAAGAUAAGAUAACAAAUAUGAAACGGAGCAGGUGCCUCCGGGUCCACUCGUCAUCGUCGGUCCGUCGGUCGGCGAGCGGCGCUCCCAGUUUUCCGGCGAAACCGGCGGCAUGUGCUCCCCGGCCGGACUAGCUCUUCAUGCGUGAGCUGCUUUGGCAUUUCUCCACAUUUUUCUCCAGUCUGCGGCCCACCCAUAUUGCAUACAACAUUUAUUCUUCAGGUUCGUUGCACAAGAUACAGUCUGUUGGUGUAACCUGUUGUUGCUGCAAUCUCCAAUUCAUUGUUUUUUUUAAUAAUCUAAUUCAUUGUUUCAUUGUACGUUGACAUGAUUCCCAAUGAUUUGAUCCCGCUUGUAAGUGCAUACAAUGACAUCAACCAGCCAAUAAGAACUACCUCGUAGGUUUAGUUGCUCAUUAUUAUACAAUUACGACAUGGCAGUUUUAGUCAUUCAUUACCAUUUUUUGUUUAAAACUUGACAUUUAAAAAUGGCCUUUUAAAUUUGUGUCCCUAACUUGAAUCCAUAAUUCAGAUUUGCCCUAAUUUCAAAGCAUAUGCUCAAAUUUACACCUCUGCCGUUAUGUGUCCUUACAAAAAUAUCCUUCUGUACCAUAUUUUUAAUUGACAAAUUAUAGAGACUAUUUUGUCAUAUGGUAUUAUUAAAGAAGUUUUUUUUCUGUGGGUCAACGCACCAUAGUUUUGAACCUUACGUAGUGACGGAGCCAGUAUUUGGAUGUGGCCGUGGAUAGGGGGGCCAAAUACUUACAUACUAUGACAUAUCAAUCAAAUAUACACUAGGUACUUCAGAUUUUAUCGACCGUUAGGGGGAGCCAGGCCCCUGCUCGCCCCCUUGUCUCCGCCCCUGACCUUACGCGUAGAUAUGGAUAUACUUUUAUCUAACGAACGAUUAAGAAAGUGUUAAAGUAUUCCGGCCUCUGGUGACAAACACUUCGAACCUACACAUGACGGCUUUAUGAGUCUCUAGUGAUAAACACCUCAAACCUACACAUGACGACUUUAAUUAUGAGCCUUUGCUGACAAGCACCUCAAACAUGCACAUACGGCUUUACGAAUACAAAAAACUCAUGUUUUUUUAAUUAUUACAUGUUUUCCGACGAUAUACGAUCAAUGGGAGUAGGCAUUCUGGUCGACUAUGAUGACGCAUGUAGCAACUUCGACAAUUUUAAGAUAAUGUACCGGCUCAACCUAUCAAAGAUGCUCGCAAAGAUAGUAUGUGAGUGUGUACAUGUAAGUAUACGUGUGUAUAUACAAGUGUCUGCGCCUAUACUAUGUAUUGUGUUAAAUAACAAUACAUAAAGAUUGUUACGGUUUUCAAAAUAAAAGAAAAACACACGCUUCAAAACGUCAUUGUCUGUACUGUCUAUUAUGUUAAAUAACAAUACAUAAAGCUUGUUACGGUAUUCAAAAUAAAAAAGAACACUUGUUUCAAAACGGCCAAAUUUUUCAUUUUUAAACCCAUCCCUAUUUGUCAACCCAUCCAAUAAGCCGUAUCAAAAGAUUUAACGAGCGAGGUUAGAUGGCUUUGUCCUCACAUGCAUUCCGAAACAGAAUAGGGGCGGAAAAGGGAUCAAAAAAUGUACUUGUGGUGUGGUGUCAUUUCGGCGUUUUGCAAUGCUCCGAAGUACUUAGUACGCAUGCUAAAUGGUAAUCUUCGCAAACAAGAAAAAUAUUAGAUGAGUGAGGGCACUUGAACCAGAGAUGUACGAAAUUAAAACUACUCCCUUCGUUCCUAAAUAUAAGUCUUUCUAGAGGUUUCACUAACGGACAACAUACGGAUGCAUAUAGACAUACUUUAAAGUGUAGAAUCACUCAUUUUAAUUUGUAUGUAAAUCUCUAAUGAAAUUUCUUAGAAGACUUAUAUUUAGAAACAGAGGGAGUUGUUGUUAUUAACUAAAGAUCUCUGGAAAGAUACUAAGAUGGAGAAGUUGGCAACAUUAUUUCAUUUCAUACAUGAUCAGAUAACUAGUGCUUUGCUCGCAGUAAACAUCGCACUGGGCCAGAUCGCCCCAACAUUAUACUACUACUACGGGGCGGCGUACAGAGGUUGCUGCGCACUAGU
rnacentral:lncRNA from 1 species